rnacentral:rRNA from 1 species
UACGGAGGGUGCAAGCGUUAAUCGGAAUUACUGGGCGUAAAGCGCACGCAGGCGGUUUGUUAAGUCAGAUGUGAAAUCCCCGGGCUCAACCUGGGAACUGCCUCUGAUACUGGCAAUCUUGAGUCCCGUAGAGGGGGGUAGAAUUCCAGGUGUAGCGGUGAAAUGCGUAGAGAUCUGGAAGAAUACCAGUGGCGAAGGCGGCCCCCUGGACGAAGACUGACGCUCAGGUGCGAAAGCGUGGGGAGCAAACAGG